GAAGAAAGAAGGAGAUUGUAUGCUUUGCAGUUAUCCCUACUAGAAGGAUCCAAGACCAAAUUCAUAUCAUCUACCUACACACCAAACCCAAUUAUCUGGGUACCUACGCAUACCUGGAAAUUUCCAAGUGUUGAAAUAACAGAGGAGUCAUGGAUGUCUGGGAAUGAACUGGUGAAGUACAGCAGUGGAUGGGUCCUCAGAAGCUAUGGAGCCCAAAUUCACACCAAGUGCACAAGCUUUCUGUGCAUUUACCGACAGCUUUUCUCAGAGAGAAACAGGAAUGUUGAUAUUAAUGUAUUUCCCUAAGCAACAGAGAAUCUGUCUUCAGACCAGGAAUCUCACAGGUCUCCAGAGCAUGCUGCUCUCAACAGAAGGGAUUUGCAAACAUGGCAACGUUGGAUCCACCAGGGGGAGCAGUUCACCAGCACAAGACAGGCCUUCCCCAAAGGAAGUCGCUGAAAAUGAUGAAUCAGAAGAAAGAUUCCUAUGAUCCGUCUCAAGAUGAUGCUGGGGCUGCUAUUCAGUUCUGCUGUUAUCUACUCCCCAAAUUACUUACAAGCCAGCUGCAAUUAAAAAAAAAAAAGGCAAAGAGAGGCUGAGGAUCUAGCCCAGUGGUUCUGCCUCCUGCCUCGCAAGCUCAAGGUCCCAAGAUCAAUCCCCGGUACCAAAAAAAAAAAAAAAAAAAAAAAAAAAAAAAAAAAAAUCCAAAAGGAGGUUAAAAAAAAUGAAGGUUCGUUGGGAAGACGUGCAACUUACAUUCUUAGGAAGUUUAGCAUCAGAGCGGGAUUUUCUGAUACUGGGUAAGUAUUUCCUGAGUCACUCUCACCCUAGAAUCUUCACAAAACAAUAGGCACACAAGAAAUGUUCAUUGGUGAACUAUUGCCAAUAGUAGGUUACUUCUAAAGUCUGGGUUUAUUUUUAGUCCUGGGGAUCAAAUCGCUG
rnacentral:lncRNA from 1 species